GGAAGUGUGGCCGAGCGGUUGAAGGCACCGGUCUUGAAAACCGGCAGACGGCAACGUCUCAAAGGUUCGAAUCCUUUAGCCUCCG
rnacentral:tRNA from 1 species